rnacentral:lncRNA from 1 species
CAAUGAAAAUAAACAUUUAAAGUUGAACUAAAAUCAUCAAUCAAGUCUUUCAAAGUCCAAACUAACAACCUCAUAACACAAAAAUCACACAAAAAUCGUACAAAUGACUUAGAAAAGUUAAAUUGUAUGAUGUUGUUCAAAGAUCAGUGUUGUUUGCUUGUAACUGCAUGUUGACAACUUGAUUAGUAAAGAUAAUGCGUGGGUGGAUUUAUUUAGUGUGUGUUGGAUUCUUUUCCAUCACAAAUUAC